rnacentral:rRNA from 1 species
GGGAUAACACUUGGAAACAGGUGCUAAUACCGCAUAACCAUAGUUACCGCAUGGUAACUAUGUAAAAGGUGGCUAUACUACCGCUUUUGGAUGGGCCCGCGGCGCAUUAGCUAGUUGGUAGGGUAAAGGCUUACCAAGGCAAUGAUGCGUAGCCGAAUUGAGAGGUUGAUCGGCCACAUUGGGACUGAGACACGGCCCAAACUCCUACGGGAGGCAGCAGUAGGGAAUCUUCCACAAUGGGCGAAAGCCUGAUGGAGCAACGCCGCGUAGGUGAAGAAGGUCUUCGGAUCGUAAAACCCUGUUGUUAGAGAAGAAAGUGCGUGAGAGUAACUGUUCACGUUUCGACGGUAUCUAACCAGAAAGCCACGGCUAACUACGUGCCAGCAGCCGCGGUAAUACGUAGGUGGCAAGCGUUAUCCGGAUUUAUUGGGCGUAAAGGGAACGCAGGCGGUCUUUUAAGUCUGAUGUGAAAGCCUUCGGCUUAACCGGAGUAGUGCAUUGGAAACUGGGAGACUUGAGUGCAGAAGAGGAGAGUGGAACUCCAUGUGUAGCGGUGAAAUGCGUAGAUAUAUGGAAGAACACCAGUGGCGAAAGCGGCUCUCUGGUCUGUAACUGACGCUGAGGUUCGAAAGCGUGGGUAGCAAACAGGAUUAGAUACCCUGGUAGUCCACGCCGUAAAC